ensembl:lncRNA
AUGAAAAGUCAACGGAUCACCAAAGUCAUCACGGCUUAUCCUUCGGGGAAAAGGAAUGUCUGUACAACAUUUCAUGGCCAUCCAUCCAGGUGGAUAAACCUGCCAACACAAAAUAACCCAGGGCAUCUGCCUCCCUGGAACCAUGACACUAGAGUGGCUGAAAAUCUCCUGUCUGUAACUGUUCAUCUACUUUCUCCGUCCUUCAUCCAUCACCGUUCAUGUUCUGUUCGCCAAUCCUCCACCGUCUCCCUUCUCCUCCCUAGAAAAGCCCUCUCUGCAGCUGGUGGCAAUUCCAGAAUACCCAGUUGCUGCAGGUCGAAGAGUCAACCUGCAAUGCCGUGCUUUCACUGUGCAAGACUCUGUCGGGUUGUCAUGGCAACGCUUAAGAAAUCAGACUUGGCUUCCAGCGGGAGUUGGUGGGCAUCUGACCCUUACCGAGCCAGAGCAGAGCGGGCUUUACCGCUGCCUUACCGCUGCCGAGAGCCGCUUUUCUCAAAACCACACAGUCUAUAUCGUCGCCACGCACACGACAGUCGGUGAGAAUUUAGGAACAUCUGCCUUUGUCUUUUCUCUCCUGGCCUUGAUCGCCAUCUUUGCUAUUAUUUUCUGGCUGUGCUGGCACAGACUAGACGGAACGUUGAUCACCGGCAACGUUGCAAGUAAAGGUAAAAAUAAACAAACCCAAUAGGGCCUAGUAUCAUUUCCUAAUGUCAAAUCUUGUACUUUUUAUGAACAAAUGUACUUUUUAUGUCUUUGUUUUUUAAUAGGUUUUCCUGGAUCUGAACAACCACCAAAGUAAGUCUGUCCAAGAAAGAAAUGUGUUUGCAUUUGGUGCACGUGCGUUCCAAUGCGUUGUGCACUACAUAUUAACGGUCUGAUAAUAAUUUUUUCCUUACCAGGGAAGAUUUGCCACACGCUGAAUGUGACGUGUACGUAAAUUACACCUGCACCAGUAGUGACUACACUGACCUUAACCCAACCACAGUGAUUGAGGACGAUGUGUACUCAAAUCUAUCGUGAACGUGGAUGUGAAGGUGGAGAUCUGAGCAUUUGGUUCAGCUGGUGAAUAUCUGCAGAGAAAGCUCAGCAUUCCCAUCAAGCCUGAAUCACGAAGUUUAUGUUUUUAUUAGUAGCCUGAUUUGACACAACGUGAAUGUGAAAUAUAUUCAACUAUUCCAACAAAACAGCAAUGGGACAUUCCUUUUCUUCAUUCAUGUGAUUUUGAUAAAAACCUGUAAUUUGCUACAGUUCUGUGCGUCUCAUGAAGCAUGCUCUUGAGAUACGGAGAUGUCUCUCGGUUUGUUGAUGUGUAAGACACAGUCUUUUUAUUUUAAUUGUAUCAUAUGAAUAAAAUAAAAUUCAAAUCACAAAAAUUGUCUGUGGAGUAAAAAUGUUUAAAAUUAUAUUACAAACAAAUUUGAGGACCAUACAAAGUAAAAGCAAAAUACAUACAAAAUGCCUCAUAACUCACUUUUGCAACAGCAGGUAAACUGGCAGUAAGAAUAGCGUAUGAUAGAGUAGAACGGCAGAGAGCAAAAAGUCUUGUUAUUCUGACUCAGUUUUUACUCUUUGACAUAAUAUACAUAAUACUGGAUGCCAGAGGGGAAACGUAGCUUAAGCGUCAUUGCUUCUGUUCCAUGGUUUCGCAAUACAAGAAAUAACCCGUCAAUGAAAAGCAAUAAAAACUGUCUCAUUUGAUGAGGGAUAAGAAUCUCACAUAUUCUACAGAUGUCUGAAUGUCGCCUACUGAAUUGAAAUGUUUGUGUAAUCUGCAGUGGGACGUUGCACUUUUGACCCCCAAAAGAUUAAGAUCUGUACUUCGCAUCCUACUAAACAAACAAAAGUCUUGUCAAGCUAAAUUUUCCAUGAUGAAUUUCCUUUUCCUUUUGUACAACUAAAACAUUUUCUUCCUCCUCACACAUGCAAGGCAGGGGGACUGAUGCAAUUCAUAUACUGUGUGUGGAAAUAAACUGUCAGAUUCUU